UCAUAGUGUAUCUAUUUGCAAUGCCCACAAGAAAACAAGAAGUGUAGUUGAGAGGGGUAUUGGUCAGCUGAAACGACGCUUCCACAUUUUGCAUGGGGAAAUCAGACUUGACCCCAAGAAAACAUGCAAAAUCAUUGCAGUCUGUGCUGUUCUGCACAACAUUUGCAAAGAUAGAAAUAUGCUGUUGCCAGAAGAUCUUCCUCCUCUCCCUGAGGAUUAUCAUGGUGAGGUCAAUGAGGAGGCCCUGGAGCGACCUCAAGAUGGUAUUCGCUACAGGGAUGACUUUGCUGCACUUCACUUUGGGGCACGACACUAAGGUCCCACCAGUCAGGCAAGUGCUGUGGUAGCUGUCGCAAGGUGGCCAACAGAGAUCUACUCCGUCCCAUGGGAAAAUGCUGCCCCUGUGAGGGACACCGCAUUCCAGAGAUGGAUCUACAGCUUUUCUUGCAAACACCUGAGACUUUCCAAGGUCCUCCUCACCAAGUCUGUCAUCAUCAAUGUGGGAGCAGGGGCGUACCUUCUGUGUAUCCAUGGCAGGGGCGGAAGCUGGGAGUUCAACAACCACCAAGCUGCUCUAGCAUAGUCGUGCCAACAUGGAGCUUUGUUCAACCACAUCCGCAUACAAACUAAGGAGGCGGUGGCUGAGUGGUUAGCGUGCCGUCCCUACAUUCGGCACGUUGUCCAUGGUGUGGGUUCGAAUCCGC